rnacentral:lncRNA from 1 species
AGGGGGAAGGUUCAAUAUGAAACCAUAGCGGCUGCAAUCGUUUUAAAGACAUGCCACCCUACCAUAGAUACCCCUCAAUCCCCUGCCCCUAUUUCAUUACCUUUUUUUAUAAACUUUCCAUCGAAUCAAACAUACUCAGAUCCAAACCAACAAUUUCUAAAUCAUCAUUCGGGGCUUGCCCAUUGUUUCCUUAUCCCAUGUGAAACUGAAAGUUAUUUCAGCCACAAUCAAGAUUGAAUUGAUUAGUAGAAUAAGUUCGCCUCUCUUUAGCUUAUCUUCUAACCUACAGCUAUUUUCUGAUUCUUACCAUACCAUGGAUCGUAAUCGAAAUUGGGGCAUUAAAUAAAAAACUUGCAACUGGAGACAAAUACAUUGAAAUUUCAAGAAUAAUAAAAUAUUUUCAAAAAAUUUAAGAAUUUUAACAUAAACAAAUAAGUAAUCUUAAUAGGAUAGAAGCUUUAAUAAU